rnacentral:lncRNA from 1 species
CCUGAGACCAUCAAUGAAAUGAAAUAUUGAAUCUGCUUCUUCUCCUAAUUAUCCUUCUUCUUCCCCUCUAAUCUCCACCUUCACUCUCUCAUCUCUUCUCUAUUUUCUUCUAAAACCCUACUCUCUUCCUCCCAAUCUCACUCCUUAUCUCUCUGUAUCUCUCUACCUCUACUCUUAUCUCUUCUUUCCUUACCUCUUCUCUUUCCCAAACUCACCGGGAUAUUACAUUGGCCGGUGAGAGAUUUGGAGAAUCGAGAUAAAUUGGGAGUAUAAAAAUGAGGUGCGGAGAGAGAAUUUGAGGAGAUGAGGGGGAAAAGAAAGAAGAGAAAAGAGGAGAUUAGUAAGGGUAGGGAUCAGACUGGGUAGAGAAGAUAAAGAGGGGAGGAGAGAGUAGAAGAAGAAAAAGAUAAUUAAUAGGGAAAGAAGAUAGUUGCUGCAUUAAACUUACACCCUGCUUCUUAUUGUCCUCCGCACACGGUGUUGAAAU